CCUUCAAUCUAUUCGUCUGCGAAACUCAAAUUUCGUAUGCACACUAGGAAAGAGGAACGCCCUUCAAUCGAUUCAUCUGCGAAUCGUUUUGUUCUUGGAAUUUACCAUCAAUCGCAAGCCCUUCAAAUCGCAAACAUUCCCUUCAUAAACUGCAAAACCUUCGCCAAUCGAUUCUCUUUUUCGAGUGUUUGAGUCUCAAGGCGUUUAUACUCAUCUCUAAUCGGAACAGAGUUUUGGGGGGCUUCAUUUGAGAUAUUAUGGUUGAAUACUCUCAGAAAAUAAGAGAUAUAGGUUUCACUAUCCUUGAACUAUUGUCAGAGGCAUUAGGACUUAAUCAUUCUCUCCUCAAAGAUAUGAAUUUUGGUAAAGGAUUAAUUUUUCCCUUCGUCAUUAUUAUCCACCAUGUCCGGAAAAGAAUUAACAAUGGGGACGUCCAGUCACACUCAUACUAACUUCAUCAUGUUGUUUCUACAAGACCAAGUUGUGGCCUUCAAGUUCUUCAUCAGGAAAAGUGGAUUGAUGUUCCUCCAUUGCAUGGAGCACUGGUCGCAAACAUAGGAGAUCUUCUGUAGGCAUUUUAACUGAGUGUCAUCACAAAAGAAAGAACCACGAAUUUCAGCCGCUGGCUUUAUUAUGAAUUCUUCGAACACAUUUGAAGGAGAAUCCAAGAUUUAUGGUCCUAUAAAGGAAUUGCUCUCAGAAGAAAAUCCACUGGUCUAUAGAGAUGUUCAUGUAAAAGAGUGUUUUGCAUAUCACUAUGCUAGAGGGCUUUACGGAACUUGUUCUUUGGAGCCAUUCAAGUUGUGAAUUUUGGUUUAUUAAUUACUCCCUCCAUCUCAAAUUAUAAGACACUUUAGAGAAAAAAAAUUCUCAAAUUAUAAGUCAUUUUACAAUUUCAAUGCAACAUUAACAUAGUUUUUUCCAAU